CAUAUGGAGUACGGGUGCUGGAUUUAGUCCGGCUGAGAUUGGGACCGUUUGUCCCUGACCGUUAAUCUGAACCAGGUAAUGCUGGCGUAGAGAACGUAUCGAAUCGUAAC
rnacentral:ncRNA from 1 species